CCUACGGGGGGCAGCAGUGGGGAAUAUUGGACAAUGGGGGGAACCCUGAUCCAGCCAUGCCGCGUGUGUGAAGAAGGCCCUCGGGUUGUAAAGCACUUUCAGUGAGGAAGAACGCCUGGUGGUUAAUACCCAUCAGGAAAGACAUCACUCACAGAAGAAGCACCGGCUAACUCCGUGCCAGCAGCCGCGGUAAUACGGAGGGUGCGAGCGUUAAUCGGAAUUACUGGGCGUAAAGCGCGCGUAGGUGGCUUGAUAGCCGGUUGUGAAAGCCCCGGGCUCAACCUGGGAACGGCAUCCGGAACUGUCAAGCUAGAGUGCAGGAGAGGAAGGUAGAAUUCCCGGUGUAGCGGUGAAAUGCGUAGAGAUCGGGAGGAAUACCAGUGGCGAAGGCGGCCUUCUGGACUGACACUGACACUGAGGUGCGAAAGCGUGGGUAGCAAACAGGAUUAGAUACCCUAGUAGUC
rnacentral:rRNA from 1 species